AACGCACAUUGCGCCCCGUGGUAUUCCGCGGGGCAUGCCUGUUCGAGCGUCAGUACAACACUCAAGCUCUGCUUGGUCUUGAGCCCCGCCGGCAACGGCAGGCUUUAAAAUCAGUGGCGGCGCCACCUGGCUCUAAGCGUAGUAAUACACCCCGCUACAGUGUCCCGGUGGCUGCUUGCCAGCAACCCCCAACUUCUAAGUUUGACCUCGGAUCAGGUAGGGAUACCCGCUGAACUUAA
rnacentral:misc_RNA from 1 species